GACGAACGCUGGCGGCGUGCUUAACACAUGCAAGUCGAACGGACAGGCCCUGCUUUUGUGGGGUGCUCGAGUGGCGAACGGGUGAGUAACACGUGAGUAACCUGCCCUUGACUUUGGGAUAACUUCAGGAAACUGGGGCUAAUACCGGAUAGGAGCUCCUGCUGCAUGGUGGGGGUUGGAAAGUUUCGGCGGUGGGGGAUGGACUCGCGGCUUAUCAGCUUGUUGGUGGGGUAGUGGCUUACCAAGGCUGUGAAGGGUAGCCGGCCUGAGAGGGUGACCGGCCACAUUGGGACUGAGGGACGGACCAGAAUGCUACGGGACGCAGCAGUGGGGAAUAUUGCACAAUGGGCCGAAGCCUGAUGCAGCAACGCCGCGUGCGGGAUGACGUCCUUCGGGUUGUAAACCGAUUUCGCCUGUGACGAAGCGUGAGUGACGGUAAUGGGUAAAGAAGCACCGGCUAACUACGUG
rnacentral:rRNA from 1 species